AGCAUUCAGUUGGGCACUCUAAGGUGACUGCCGGCUAAAAGUCGGAGGAAGGUGGGGAUGACGUCAAAUCAUCAUGCCCCUUAUGACCUGGGCUACACACGUGCUACAAUGGGCGGUACAAAGGGUCGCGAACCCGCGAGGGGGAGCCAAUCCCAAAAAGCCGCUCUCAGUUCGGAUUGCAGGCUGCAACUCGCCUGCAUGAAGCCGGAAUCGCUAGUAAUCGCGGAUCAGCAUGCCGCGGUGAAUACGUUCCCGGGCCUU
rnacentral:rRNA from 1 species